rnacentral:rRNA from 1 species
UACGUAGGGGGCAAGCGUUGUCCGGAAUCAUUGGGCGUAAAGAGCGUGUAGGCGGUUCGGUAAGUCGGCUGUGAAAGCCUGGGGCUCAACCCCAGAGGGUCGGCCGAUACUGGCAAGCUAGAGUACGGAAGAGGUAGCUGGAAUUCCCGGUGUAGCGGUGAAAUGCGUAGAUAUCAGGAGGAACACCAAUGGCGAAGGCAGCUCGCUGGGACGUGACUGACGCUGAGACGCGAAAGCGUGGGGAGCAAACAGG